AUGAUAAUUAGCAAAUUAAAUUAAUUACUAUUUAUUAAUUAGCCAAUAUUAUUUUUAAUGUGGUAAUUAGCCUAUAUUAUUUUUAAUGUGAAAUUUGGUGUUGUGACUGGAAAUGAAAAAUAAAAAGAAUAUCAAAACACAAGCUUUGAUGUUAUUUCAAUACUAAAUUUAGUGUGUGGUUGGAGUAGGUCAUUGAGUGCCAUAAGAUGUGAAUUGAGCGUUGACGAUCUCUAUAUUCAGAAACUUUCUUAUUUUCCACUUGAAUAAUCUUUCAAACUCCAGUUUUUUUUCUGCUAUCAUCUCUCUCACAAUUUGCCACAGUAUCCUUGGACAUCCGUGUCAUAAAAAUCAAGUUUUUUUCUGGUUGGUUUCGUUUUGCUUUGAAGACUUCAAAAUAAAUAAUUGUAAGCCUUUCAGUUAUCCAAGCAAAAACAUAUUUAUUUUCCUAUCUAAAAGCUCUAGUAUCUGAACAUAUUCAGAAUAAAUAAUAAGUUAUUUAUAAUUAUGUAUAAAGAAAAUAAAUUAUCUAAAAUUUUGUAUAUUAUGAUACGGUUUUCAAAAUAUUUUGUGUGAUAACUAUAAUUUCCCAUCGUGUAUUGUUUAAAAAAUGUUUUAUACUUCAAAAUUAAUCAGUUUACCUAAUAUUCUAGUACCAUGUGAAAGGCGGAGACUAAUACAAAACAUGUUCAACAAAUCAAGUAAAGUUGGAGAAAGCGAGAUAACGAGAGAGCGAGAGGAGUGAGGUAUAUAGGUAGAGGUUGGGUUAAAGACAGGUACCACUUGGGGCUACCCACUUUAAUGUAAUAAUGGAUUACUUUCGGCCAAUAAAUUAGGGAGUGGAGCAUCGACUACUGUGCAUCUGCUCUACCAAAUUUAUUUGUUGAUUAGUUAACCAUUGUGGUCCAUCUUGUAGGAGUUAUAGUCGACUUUGAGUACGAUUUUUAUGAUUUUUGUUUACUUGGAAGCAAUAGUUAACUUGCGAUCCGUUGUUUGGGAAAAGUACCCACUCUAUUUGCACUAGCUUAAUUCCCCACAUGUGCAAAUAGGAAAUAGGUGGUUCAAUCCGUUGAUCCUCAAUUGAAGAUCAAUUAAUGAUGCUCAUUUUUAACAUAAAGUGAAUAUCAGUUCUCAUUUAUGUGAAUUAUUUUUAGAAAUUAGAACCAUGAUCAACACCAAUAAGCGGAGCAAGGUCCGUGUAAUCGUAUCUUUUUAUAAAUGAAAAUGCUAUAUUUUCAAACUGUGAUGUGAGCUCUUUCAGUAUCACAUAUUUGUUUUUCCUUAAAUCACUGAAAGGUUAGAGUGCUUGGAAAACAAAAUUAUUCUAAAGUCUCAACCACUACAUAUUGCUUUAGUUAUCUGUCUCCCAUCAUGUGUGUGUCCCUCGUAUUAAAUAGGCGAAAAUGUUUACAUUCAUAUAUAGUCUUCAAACUCCCAUAAGAUCAGCCACACAAACAAGAUGGAUUGGUUCUCGUGGCUAUCAAAAACCGACCUUGACCCGACCAUAAGCUACGAGUACGGACUCAUAUUCGCCCAGAAGAAGCUCAAGAGUGAAGACAUCGCACUUUUCAACCACAAUUUUCUCAAGCGACAUGGCAUUAAUGUGGCCGAACACCGCCAAGAGAUUCUCAAGCUUUCGAAGAGAGAAACAGAAACAGUUAGCUACUAUCACCGUCGUCCAGCCUCGGCCAAACUCAUCUCUGUCCUCAUUAAGGCGACCAAAAGUAUUGGUAACCGCUUUAACAAGUGGCUUUUCCUCGUAGGAACCGCCGUGGUUGAACCGGCGAAGGAGAAGCAGUCGCCAGAACCUGCCAGCCGUGGAGAAGCGUUUGUGAGUGGAAAUAAUAAAGCUAAUAACGAAAAAGCUGAGUUCCAAGUGGAGAGAUUGCCUGUGAUAAGGAAAAAGAGGAUCGCCAAAUCUGGACCGUUGGAUUUAAAACACCGAAUGCAAGAGAAAACAACAUUUCCAGCUAACCGGAGCAUGAACCUAUCCGGACCGUUGGAUCGAAGUGUCCAAGAAAGACUCGUAUUAGCAUACAGAAGUCCUGUUGUGUCGGGACAGUUAGAUGGAAACUUAAACGAACGGCUGAAAUUAUCAGGGCCGUUGAAAGGAAGACCACCGAGCCCAAGUGUGUAUGUGGAGUACAGUAAAAGAGAUGAUGACACACGGUGGGCUACUCUAUUUCACAACUUGAAGCCUACAUAGAUCUCAAGUAUAAGUGGUUUUUGUUUAGUUUUUGGAAAACGGUAUGUAGCUAAGGUACUCAGUUUGGGGUAUCUGUCGUGCUAAAUAUACAAACUAUUUCCUUAUGCUCUAACUUAUGGGGCUAUUUGUUUCUUCUAUCAUUCGAGUAUUGCUCGUUCUGACAAAAUUUAAAAGGUGAACUUGUAUGUAGAAAUUAGGAUGCAAAACAAGUUGAUCCGA